CUAAGGAAAAAACGGAAGCCAUUGAGUUUGUCUUGUUUAGUUUUGAGAGGUCUUGUGGGGCCUUAGCUCAGCUAAGGAGAACGCCAGUUCGCCUUUGUCGAAGCGUUAGCGCACGACAGGGACCAGCGGUAACUUAACAAUAGAGUAUCGCGAAAAAAUAAAAUAGAGUACAACUAUGUAUUGUACGGGGCCUUAGCUCAGCUGGGAGAGCGCCUGCUUUGCACGCAGGAGGUCAGCGGUUCGAUCCCGCUAGGCUCCAUUAGGAUAGAAUCCUACUGAACUUAAUAAAGAAGUGAAGUUGAAUACGAGACUAACUUCUUAGGAAAAAAGAUAAACUUCCUUGUGUUCAUGGAACACAGCGUCAGUUUCCUAUUUUUCUACAGAAGUUUUCGCAAGCGAACCGUCUCUGAAUAUCCUAAAUUUAGCACAUUGAAAAUUGAAUAACGAUAUCAAAUAGUAACAAGAAAAUAAACCGAAACGCUGUGAAUAUUAAUGAGUAUAUGACUGAGAGGUCAAAAAUAA
rnacentral:tRNA from 1 species